GAAAAAAAGAAAAAAAAAAAGAAUCUUUGAUAGAAAACAGACAUUUGUUCAUAGUUCUAUUAUGUUUAUAGUUAAUAAAUCCAAAUCUCAGUUGUUUUAGGGUAUAUCAUUUUUUACAAUUCUGAGACAGAAACCAAGACGUUUUCCAGAGUAUUUUGAUCGUUUUUGUGUAGAUACUUACAAGGAGAUUACGAUUUCGGUUGGAACGUGCACCUGGUGAAACUGCAUUGAUUGACAGGACUGGCAGAAUGUUGAAGAUGGAACCUUUGGCUACAGUUGAAUCUCUGGAACAGUACCUUUUGAAAAUGGUAGCAAAACAGUGGUAUGAUUUUGACCGAUCUUCAUUUGUUUUUGUUCGAAAAUUAAGAGAAGGACAAAAUUU
rnacentral:lncRNA from 10 species